rnacentral:tRNA from 1 species
AUUCCUGUAGCUCAGAUAGGAGAGCACUACACUGAUAAGGUAGAGGUCGUGGGUGCAAGUCCCAUCAGGAAUC